GUGGGGAAUUUUGGACAAUGGGCGCAAGCCUGAUCCAGCCAUGCCGCGUGAGUGAUGAAGGCCUUAGGGUUGUAAAGCUCUUUCAGUGGGGACGAUAAUGACGGUACCCACAGAAGAAGCCCCGGCUAACUUCGUGCCAGCAGCCGCGGUAAUACGAAGGGGGCUAGCGUUGUUCGGAUUUACUGGGCGUAAAGCGCACGUAGGCGGAUCGUUAAGUCGGGGGUGAAAUCCUGGAGCUCAACUCCAGAACUGCCUUCGAUACUGGCGAUCUUGAGUCCGGAAGAGGUGAGUGGAACUCCUAGUGUAGAGGUGGAAUUCGUAGAUAUUAGGAAGAACACCAGUGGCGAAGGCGGCUCACUGGUCCGGUACUGACGCUGAGGUGCGAAAGCGUGGGGAGCAAACAGGAUUAGAUACCCGGGUAGUCC
rnacentral:rRNA from 1 species